ensembl:lncRNA
CUUCCAUUGGGCGAGAUCUGCCACACGCCCUCCCGCCGACCAAUGGAAAGCGGCUGACGCACGGAGGCAGUGCCCAGAAUGGGCGCGAUGUGACGACGUCAUCAUGGAGCCAUAGGUUGCUGGGAGAGCAGCUGGUUGCCAGGACAACUGGCCCUUCCGCAGACGCGGGCUAGCCGGCUGGAGAGAAGAUCCACCCGGGGCGUGGAGUAGGUGGGCCCUCGCUGUUGGCGUCCAGCUCAUGCCGAAUUUUUAAAAUCCAGGGUACAGAAGGACUGAUGAUAAAAAACAGAAAGAGAGUAGGGACUGUUAGGUCAGCGCUUGUCACCAUUUAAAAUGUCAGCAGUGUUACACAAAAACAGUGGAGAUGUGUCUGCAAGAGCUGCGGCUCAGAAACCAUGGGCAUCAUGGCCACAUUUAGUGGCUGUCAAUCAGCUGGUGACAAACUUGCCAUCCGUCACAUGAUUCAUAUAGAGCCACAUAUCCUUGCUGUGUCUGAAGAAACUGGUCGCCAUAGUACCAUCCAGGUAGAAGCAAGGACAUCUCAGUCUCCCUGAAGAUUCCAGCAUGAGAAAGAGGUUUAUGAAUAUCAUCUCCCACCAAGAAGAACCAGGGACCUUGGAGAAAUGGUGCAGGGCUGUGGCAGGGAGAAGAUGGGUGGGCCUGGAGUAUCUUCUUAGGCUGGUCAGUAAGGAAAGAAGACAACAACAAAAUAGAUGAGUGGC